CCCUUAGAUGUUCUGGGCCGCACGCGCGCUACACUGACGGAGUCAACGAGUUGUCCUGCAUCGGAAGGUGUGGGUAAUCUUUUGAAACUUCGUCGUGCUGGGGAUAGAUCUUUGCAAUUUUCGAUCUUGAACGAGGAAUUCCUAGUAAGCGUGAUUCAUCACAUCACGAUGAAUACGUCCCUGCCCUUUGUACACACCGCCCGUCGCUCCUACCGAUCGAAGAGUUAGGUGAAUUGUUUUGAUCGAUAAGAUUUGACUAUGGUCAACUCUCGUUGUGAAAUUCUGUGAAUCUGACUGUUUAGAGGAAGGAAAAGUCGUAACA
rnacentral:rRNA from 1 species